GCGUCACUGGAGUAGUGGUUAACUCGUUGCCCUCCCAUGACCAAAAUUAAUAGCACUGGUUCGAACCCGGUGUGACGCA
rnacentral:tRNA from 1 species